CCUCAUGUCUACCCUGAAUUUCCCCUUCUUUAGUUUAAAACUGUCACCCCUUGUCCUGUUGUAGCAUGCCCUUCUAAACACUCUGUCCCCAUCUUUCUUAUUGACCCCUUUUAAGUAUGGAAAGGCUGCAAUAAGGUCUCCCUGGAGCCUUCUCUUCUCCAGGCUGAACACCCCAACUCUCUCAGCCUGUCCUCCCAGCAGAGCUGUUCCAGCCUUGGAUCAUUUCUGUGGCUCCUCUGGCCCGUCUCCAACAGGUCCAUGUCUGUCCUGUGCUGAGACCCCAGAGCUGGGCUCAGCACCACAGGAAGGUGUCACCAGAGCAGAGGGGCAGAAUCACCUCCCUUGACCUGCUGGCCACGGUCCUUCUGAUGUAGCCUGAGACACGACUGUCCUUUUGGGCUGCAAGCACACGUGGCCAGCUCUGCCCUAACACAGCAUCUUCUCAUCCAGCACCACAGUUGGUGUAGCUCACUGCUGUCUAGAGGCUCAGGCAGCCUCCUGGGGAUCCAGAGCCUGUUGCCCGAGGAUGAGCGGGCAGGGAGUGGGCUGUGUGCUGGGGUGCACCAGGCAGGAGCUUGUUGGGACAAGCAGCAACCUGCCUGUGUGGGCAGGUGAGAGGAAAACCAGAGCCUGUCCUGGGGACUGGGGGUAAAGAGUCAGGCAAGGAGGGAGAGUGAAAACAUGGAGGAAAAAAGACUAGUAGGAUCCUGCAUUUACUUUGUUCCUGUUUUUCUCAUUUCACAGAAGUUACAGUCAAAGGAGAACGGUGAAACACUGGCCCAGGUUUCCCAUAGAGGUGGUGGAUGCCCCAUGCCUGGAGACGUCCCAGGCCAGGCUGGACGGGGCUCUGAGCAACCUGAGCUGGUGAAGAUGUCCCCGCUCAUGGCAGGGGGGUACUGGGUGAGCUUUGAAGGUCCCUUCCAACCCAAACUGUUCUAUGGUUCUAUGGAACUCCAGCCUUAUUGCAGCAAGCAACUCAGCAGACAGUCCUUUCAAACACAGAUGGUGGCUCUCCAGUCACAAACACAUCCCCAAACCUCCUGGAGCAGCAUGUGCCCUCAUUUCUUGUGUGGAAUGUAGCCUACAGGGCAUGUGUUUGCAACCCUGCACCUGCUCCCUCUAGUCUAUCUUUCUAUAUCUCCCUAGGGAUUAAUCUGCUCCCCAGUUCUGGUCUUUAAGAAGAUUGAAGGGGUUUUGUGCUAAAACUAAAAAAUUAGGUGAAGUGGAAGGAGCAGCUUCCCUCCCACAAGCCUUCUACAGUGCAGGAGAGGUCCUCAGUGGAAAGCUGUGCCAGAUGAGGAGAGUUCUGUCAGGAUCCCAGGCUUGUGUGUUAAUGCUGCUCAAGAGCUGAAGAAAACCCCCAAGCCCCAAACUCAGCUCAUUCCCCCACGAAAAUACCUCAUAAGGUGUUGUUGGGCAGCUCUGCCAGCAGUGAAGGGUCGUGACUGCUGUAGAAAUACUGGCUAGAGAUUAAUUCAAAUGGUUUUCUUAUUAGCAUUAUAAAGGUAAACAAAGGAAGGACUGGCAAAGAAGAGUCGGAAGGCAAGAAAAACUAAACUAUGCACAAUUUAAUCAACAGGCUAUUUAUUUGCUGUUAGAGCAAACCAGGAAUUUAUGCCCUGUGUUAAGCUCAUCAUGGUGUAAAACCCACUUUUGGGCCACUUAACAGAAAUCAUGAUAGUCUUAGGUCUGGAUGUUUGUUUGACUCUUCCCACUCAUUUUCAAGUGAUGUUCUCGCACUUUUCUCACCUCAGGCAGGACUCUUGGUGUGAAGGCUGCUCUGUGCCUUGUGCCUCCUGCCCUUGAGAUGAAUCUCAGCCCAAGUGCUGCGUCACACAUUUAGGGUGAGGUGCUGAGUAUCAGUCUUGACAACUGUGGGAUUUAGAAGAAAUAACGCAAUCAGACUCCUCAGUUUUUUUCACUUUAUUGACACUUACUCAGUAGCAGAAGUGCACAAGGAAAUUACUAAGGUCUAGGCGCAUAAGAAAAACAGGAUCAAGUCUUUUAUUUUGCAUCUUUGAACUCUAAAGACUUCGUUUUGUUCACACAAAAUUCACUCAUCCCUUGCAUGCUGCUGCUGGCACUACAUUUGCUGGGUGGCAUAUGUCUGGGUGGCAGAGGGGAGACUAGCUCCAAAGCACCUCCUCUUGACUUGGAUUUCAAACAUAUACAGUUAUGAUCUGUGUAAGAGUUUCAAUGCAGUGAAUAAUUUGGAUGGUGGCCUCUUUUCCCCUGUGAAUUCUAGUAGAUGAGGUAUGUCUCAGUGACAAAGAGGUGUGUUCUCUGCCUCAUGACAGGCUGGUUUCCAGAAACUUGAUAUUUCCAGGUAUUUCAGAACUAUCAUUUAGAUACCCGUGUCUCCUUGCAAGUUUUUGUACUUGUAUUUAAACAUCAGGCUGUCAACAAGACACAGUUCAUGUGAACGCUCGUCAUAGAAGAUGAUUACAAAAGCAAACAGAACGAUCACUCUGGGCUCACAGUUGGGAAGUAGGAAAAAAAUUAGUCUUGCAGAGCAAUGAGUCAAUGCAGCGAUGAAAUGCCUAUAUUGGUAAAUAAAGGCUGGCUGCUGUUGCCUGCUUCGUAGCCUGCGUGCCCCUGAGGGGUUUGGAAAGUGGUGAUGCAAACUGAUGAGUCACAGUUUAGAACAAUAGUUUCUUCAUGCAAAUGACUCAAGAUAAAAGAAAAACAGGUUUUUCAAGAAGCUGAAGCAGAAGAAAUUGCAAAAAGGAAAAAAAAAAAAAAUAAUAGGACAUCUUUAACCCUGUGUUGAAAGGACUAAAUCUUUUUCUAAAGAGUAAGGCAGUGGUUGUGGUGAAUGUCUGAGACCAGCGGAUUAGACCGCUAACCUUGCAGUCAGCUUUGCACUUCCAGAGCGUGUGUGCAGACAGCCAGAGGAAGACAAGACAGCUGAAUACUGUUCAGCCUUGCUCUCACCCACCGGCUUGCUGGGUGGUGAGCCACCAGGGUGGACACAUGAGGACAACCCAGUGUCAUUUGGAGGAGCAGUGAUGUCUCUGACAUGCUCUGUAAGCACAGUCGCCUGCCUGUGGGGCCGGAGCACCAGUUUGCUGUCAAAUUAGACUCGAGAAGUCAUAAAAUAAUUGCAGUAACAUCUUCAAGCUGUUUUCAUCGGUGAAGAUGCCAAAACUGCACUGAGGGCAGAUGAUGGCCCUGGGGAGCCGAGAGGCAGGGGCUGAGCUCUGGCUGGGACAGGCAGCACUGCAGGCUCCUCAUCUCAGCUGGGAAGGAGAUGUUCUCUUCCCUGCCUUGAUAAUUUGGGGUCUUCAUUGUACAUGCUGGAGUAGGGACCAGGCAUCCCCCUGUGCUGCUGAGCUGCACUGAGCUGCAGCAGGACUCAGCUCAUGUGGGACAAAGGCUGUGUCCCGGCUGGGGGAUUUGGGCCAGUUGUCAGAGGACAGAGUUAGGGCUGGUUCAGCCACAGCUGUGUUUCCGUCUGGGCUUUUCCUUUAGGUGUACAUUUGACGGUGUCACAGGAUGGAAAAAAAAACCUCUGCCACAGAGGAGCUGAGCCUGUCAGUCCCCCCACUGGGAUCAGGUCCCAGAGCAUCCUAAAAGGGGAUGCAGCACCCACAGGAUGCUAGGUGGGGGAGCAGAGGGAACCAACGUGUGGGGCUCCCAGUCGGUGACUGGUCCCAGCCCGACUUCAGUGUGUCAGAUCACCCCACCUCCUCGCUGUGAGUUUCGUUCUGACUUUCGGGUUGGAAUGAGUCAAAAUCUCAGAGCAAAAUGUUGAUGAAACCGCUGCCUGCAGUCGGGUUUCUCCUUGGACCAGUUGGAGGGAGCAUUUUUUGGGGGUGGGACAGCACCCACACGCCUGGCCCCACGCGCCUUCCUGGGAAAGGCAAAGAGGCACAAAGUGAAGGAGAUGGAGAUGUUUUACCAGCAAGACCUCAGUUCCUGCUGCUUAUCCUCAGAGAGCUGCAAAAGCUCAUUUGAGCUGGGUUUAGUCAAUGGUUGAGGCUGGGAAAUGUUUCAGUUGCUGCUGGGAACUGGCUCCUGGUUCUUUCUUGUCAUUCAGCAAUGAGCUAAUUCCUGAUUUAUUUACCGCAGUGGUACAGCCCUUCAGAUCCACUCAAGCUUCAGUCAGCAAACCUUUCCCUGCGUCCUGAUCCCCUCAUUUCCAAGGGAUCCUUUUCACUGAUACAGAAACCGAAAAUGCAAAAGGAGUCUGUAAAUCCAUCAUGCCAGCCCCCGGCAUCCCAUCUCUUCUUCAGCAGACAGCAAACGCCAACUUCAGACUGGGAAAACAGCCAAAAUGUGAUUUUUAUGAGGGUACAAGCGCAUUUCCUUCUUAUUAGCAGACAGCACUGCCCUUGGCCUCACUCAGCCGUGCAUUCGUUAGUACAAGAUGCUGCAAAGGCAAUAACCCUGAAAUGUCACAGCUGCAGAUUUGUAUCACACAGAUAAGAUGGUAUGAUUAAAUAAAGAAUCGCUCAACAUCUAAAUAUUCGGUAAAAGACAACAGAAUCUGCAAGAGUGAGAACAACACAGUGUAAAGGGUUCACAUCCCCACUCAACCUGGGAAACUUUGAAUGGCCUGGUAUAGAUAAACUAGUUUAACUCUCUUUUAAAGUGCUAGAAAGUAUGUAGAGCUUGACCAGGCUUGGAGAGGAGAUCGUUCCUCUGAAGUUUAAAGGUGAUCUCUGCUCCUUGCUUUGCUCCCAGCAGCAUUCAAUGAGCAGUUCAGCAGAGGAGGUUUGCAAAGGACAAGCUGGAUAAAUUACUUUACAGGAAAGUUACUGUCAGACAUUUACAAUCCCCACUGAGAGACCACAUGGUGGGUCAGGUUUGCACUGUAGCUGGGCUUUGCAGGGAACGUUAAGUCUUUUCUCAGCUUGAGGGUGUCUUCAAAUGAUAAUUAUAUCCAGUUACCACUGUAGCAAGUGCGGGUGGCUGGUUGCUCCCAAACCAGCUGCAUUGCUGCUCCCUUCCAUCCAGCUUUGCCUUUGCUGGAUGGGAGUGACCUGGAUGGAAACACCUCUGCAGGGUAAUGCCCACCAGCACUGCUCCCCCUGCUUGGGCCAAGUGGACCAGAUUUGCUGACUUUCAAAGCACAGGUUAUGUUUUCCAGCCGCAGAAGAGAGCUGUGAGCCGUAGGCAGCAGUGACAUCUCCCUUGCUGUCAGGUGGGGCAGUUACUUCAUCCUCGCCCACUAUUUUCUAAUGCUUGGGAUGGAAAACAUUGCACACGUGUUGCUGGUGGGAUGCGGCUGUUGGUGGGGGGAAGGCAUGGCUCCCAGAGCUCAGCUAUUUAUAGUGUUUCUUCAUCCUAGUGUAUUUAUGUGAGCCAGUUUCAUAGCUAUUGUCUAGCACAAGCAGAGGACUGGGGAGAUGCUCGCAGGCUUCAAAUCAGAGGAGUGACCAUAGUUCUCAUGGCUCAGCACAUAUCUGUCUCUUGCGGUGCUGAUUAACAGUGGCUCUGCUGCCCUGUGCCUGACUGUGUCUUGGCAGUCUCGUGCCUCAGAAAGCCUAAAAAAUCAGCCAUGAGUGACUUUUGCUGCUGGAGAAGAGCCAGUGCCGAGGAGGUGAUGCUCAGAGCACGGGGCAUGUGUGUCUCCGUCCUGCCUCUGGCCACCCAGCGAUGCUGCUUGGCUCUGUGCUGCUCCAGAGGCUGCUGUCUGUCUGUAUGGUGGAUUUAAAAUGAAGGUUUGGACCAGGGAAUUCCCCACAUGUCUCCAGAAGCAACCCUUUGUGGGGAGAGGAUCACCCCAGGUCUGUGUGGGAUCUCUCUGGGAGCUGGGGACUCCUCUGUCCCCUGGGCUGGUGUCUUUGGGAAUGCGCAGCACAAGAACUGGCAUCCUUGCCGCUAUGUUUUAUCCCCCAAAUUUAGUCAUUUUAAAGCCAGAGCUACAAAAAUUGCUGAUUUCCCUCUUUUAGAAAUGCUUUAUUGAUCCUGCUUGCUAAUUAAGGGCAGGAAUUUAUCCCCCGCCUGCCAGUCCCUCUGCACAGCCUGAGUGUUAUUUGUGGUAUCUCAUACAACAAACACCUAUUUUUAGCUGAGCAUUCUUGGAAGGGGUUUCUGUACCUUGUUUUCCGCAGGGAAUUCUCUCUUGCAGGGUGCCUGGAGCUGCUGGUGGUACUCCAGCCUGCACAGGAGGAUGCUUGGAUGGAGGCAGGUCCAGACCUGUGUGGAUGGCCGGUGUCCCUCUCUCAUGGCAGCAGCAUCCUAAACAAACACAGCAUCUUGCUCCUCGGAGUAAUUUUCCCAGGAGUUAUGGCUGCAGAUGUAUUAUUUUGCUUUUUGACCUGCCUGCCUCCCAGGAAAAACUCCAUUUCAUUGAUCGGGCCAUUUCAAGCUCAUUGCAGGGCUGCCAAUAGCUAAGCCAUAACAGUAAUUUUAACCUCUGCAUUUUCUCCUAGUGUUUAGUGUCAGUGUUAUAAAGUACCACUCCAAAUAUAAGCACAGGCAGUCAAUUAUUUUAAUCUUUAUUACAUUGGAAUGUACAGCAGCUUCUCCUGAGCAAAAAACACUGUGUCUGAUACUCAGCAGAGUGGGUUUGGCUGGGAAAUGGCAUCCAACCACUUUGGGAAGCUCCAUCCCACCACGGCACACAUCAGCCGAGCUCAUGGACACCCCCUGGAUUCAUUUCUCAGGUCAGCCACAGCACGAACAACACCCCCAGCACCCAACUCCUGCCUUUGGAAGGGAUGAUACUCCUCCAACUUCCUUCUAAUUCCCCUAUAAAUUGGUUGCAGGAUUCAGUAUCAGUGCCCACAGCACCCACUCAGACAAAGCUGUGGUCUCACCCUGUGCCCCCCAAAAACCGCUUCGCUGGGGGUUGAGCACCUGCCCACCAUGAAUGGUCUCUGGCGUAUCCCAGGAGCAGAAAGAGCUGCCCGCGAACAAAACCAGCCCCAUCUCAUCACUCCGACUUCCCCGUGAAAAACGGUGCCGGUUAAACCCUGCAUGUCACAUGCACAGUCUAUAUUUAACUUGUGUAUUAAAUGGACAAGGAAUGAGUUUGUCAAGUGGAAUUUGGGAUGGGUGACACAUCAAGGCAGAGGCAGCGCUGGUGAAAUCCAGCUGGUUCAGCCAGGGUCAGUGUUGGCUGCAGUGGGAAGUUUUUUCCCCUUGUUGUGUGGGUUAGUCAUAGGUUUGUUUAUUUUUUUAGAUUUUUUUUCUUAUUCAUCUGUUGCAAUCACAGCAGACACAUCAUUUCACAGCCCUACAUGGAAAUCCAAGUCUAACAAACUAUUUUUAGCACACAAAAUGUCUUCUCUAAAUGUAUUAACUUUGGAAGAGUAAAUAUUAAAUACACUCUCAUUGCAUUAGGAGCAUUUAUGCAGAAGUACAGCACCAGCGUUUUUAAUGGUUAGGGGAAAUUAUGUUAUGCCACUAGCACUUAAUCAAACACAAUAAAACGAGAUCUUACCGCAGUUCUUUCAGGAUAAGUUGAAGGGAAAUUAAUUCAUUUUCACACCCAUUGCUGACGAUUUACUGACACUGAGGCACUUUUGUCCCAUUAGUGUUUAUGGUGGCACUUGCAAUCCUUAUGCAAAACAUGCUGGGGAUAGCCUAACAUUUAUUUUGCAAUUAAACUGAAAUGAUUCUUUGCCUGCUCACUCCCGAUCGAGGCAUUCAGCACCAUCUGUGAGGAGGGUACUACAGGCAAACCCCAAGCAAGCAAUGCAGGGAUACCCUAUGUGCUAUUAAUGCCUAUAUUUUUUUAAAAUAAGAAUUUUUUUUUGUAACUUUAUUGUGGAAGUAUUUUUCAGGCUGGGCUGUAGGAGAAGGAUGAUGUGUUGCUGCUGGUGGAAUCCUGGUGUCCCAGGGGUUGCUGAGGAUGAUGUCGCUGCUCUGCUGGGUGCCUGGAAGAACAGCGGUGACCCUCAGGACUGGUGGUUCGGGGACCUGUGCUGGUGGCUCUCGCCUGGUGAUGGGCACUGGGGUACUGCCCAGGUGUGGGGACCCAGGGGUUGGGUCCUGUCCUUGCGGAGCUCCCCAUUGUUCCUUGCUCCUGCAAAAACUGGCUGCUGAUUUGGGAGUUGUUUCCCCAACCAGAAGGACUCCAGGACUAAGGAGCUGAGCUAUUCUUGAUGGAUUGGUUUUGUUGUCAUGUCAGUUAUUGUCUCUCCAGUGAAAUGGGCUCUCUGGGAAGAGGAGACAUACAGAGCAACUGUUGGCUGCACAAAUGUAAAUGCAAACACAACAGAAAUUUGGAAAUUCACUGUUUGCAGGCAGACGGUGGCUGCACCAGCAGGGCUGGACCAGCUCCACAUCCCCAUGCACAGAGCUGCAUCCCUGGGGUUACAGAAUCAUUUUGGUUAGAAGAGACCCUCAAGAUCAUCGAGUCCAACCGUAACUCUGGCACAAAACCAUGUUCCUAAGAACCUCAUCUCUGCAUCUGCCCAACCCCUCCAGGGAUGGUGACUCCACCACUGCCCUGGGCAGCCUGUUCCAGUGCCCAGCAAACCUUUCUGGGAAGACAUUUGGUUCACAUAAUAAUGGUUUACAUGGUCCCCAGGUAACUUUGCUCCGUGUGACCUUGCUCACCACACAGACACUGAGGUACACAGAAAACACUGCUUUAUUGACUGCAUUUGCCAAUACACUGAGGAAUGCAAAGGGUUUUCUUUUCAUAAGCAAUGGGCCAUGGUCCCAAUGUGUAUUAAAGCAUACACUGUACCUAAACAGGAUGAAAAUAAUGGCAGACAGCUAUUCCAAGGCAACACAAAUAGCAUGCAUAAUACAGUCUCACACAGAACGAGUUUGAUAACAUUAUAUUGCUUUAAGGAUUAACUAACAUGGAAAAUGUACAAAAAGGAGAAAUAGGUUUUUGCAUUAAUGAAAAAUACAUUUUUUUCUCUACAAAGGAAUUUCUAAUACAAGAAAAUAAAUAUUGCAACAUAAGCCAAAAAUAAUUUAAAAUUGCUCUUUUCAAUAUAUUUUCAAUAUUUCUCUUUUAUAUUAACAAAUGGCACAUCACGUUCUUUGAAACAAAGAAAACAGAAGGGUUUCUCCUCCUGUGACAUUCAUAUCAUUUCCUGUAACUGAUGUGAAGUGGGUCUGUUUUGUAUGUGAAAUGGCGCAAACUGCGGGGGAUUUCCUUAAAGAACAACCAAACCUGCCCUGCACCAGCAUCUUCCUGCUCGGCAGCUGCUCCCGCAUCCCGCUUGCACCUCCUGGCUCCGUUCUGCAUCCCGCCUUGGGGUGCACUCUGUCGGACAGCAGGCACCUAGACCCCGUCAAAUAGGUGCAAGCAAAACAAAGUUAAAAAAAUGAGGGUGGGGAGAAGGGGUGUGUGGAAUCGGAGCUGUCCUUGGGGCUGGGGUCGGUGUCAGGGCUGUGCUCCGUGCCCCGCGCAUGAUGCUGUUCGCAUCCUCAUCUCAACCACAACAGCUGCUGCUUCUUCAAGGAAACGGCUGCUCAGUGCAAAUGGCGAUUCCUGCAGUUUAUAUAUCUUUAAAAGACAACACUUCUCUACUAAAAUAAAUCCUUGUAUUUUUUUUUAAUUCCUUUCUAUUAAUUUCAAAAUACAUUUACAGUGACAUCAAAAAUAUUUGCCUUGUGCAUUUUCUCUCCUGAAUGCCAGGCUCCCCUGAUCCAAGGUGAGGGGAUGGCAAGAAUGUGCCAGGCAGGGAUUCCACAGCCCUCAAAGAGCCCCUUCCCUCCACGGAUACCCCUUUUCUCUUAUCUUAUUUCACCCACCCCAUUCUUCUCCCCGGGUCUGACAUGCCCCACAACCCCCUUUAGUUUUCCCCACCUAAACACCGUCUCCUGAUGGCAAAAUACGACGUUUUUGGGAGCAUUUCAAACUGGUUCAUUGCCUGGUGCUGGUGGCGCCGGGUUGGUUGUUCUUCAAAGUCUCCCUCUUUUUGCUUUCCUGUACUGAGAAGACAAGUAGUGCAGAAGCUGAUGAAUGGAGCUGUGUACAGUGAAAUUUGUGGAUUGCUUUUUUUUUUAACCAUAAUUGAGUGAAGCACACGGAAGCAAGAUUCAUUAAAAGGCAGCAUAUUGAUUAUUGUUAUGACUCUUAUACUAGGAUACUGUAGCUAAAGCUAGCAAGCCUGAUAAGAUAAACUAAGUCCUAUUUACUGUAUUUAACAUUAUCUGAACACACUGAGCCUUAAUUAAUGAGCAGAUUUUCAUUUCCAACCUCAAUGGAUUUUGCUAAUUUAUAGCAAAGGUGGUUCCCAUUUUGUUGAUUUUUUUUUGUUUGUUUUUUUUCUUCCUGCUAAUAACUUGUGUAACAUUUUUCCCAUCUGAGGCAGAUUUCCCCCCAGGCAUGGUCAGUGUGGGGCUUAGCCAGGGCUGGGUGCGUCCCACCCGAAUCCCCCGCUGCUCAUCAUGCCUGGGAUGAGCUCGGCUGUCAUCGCUUAUCUUUGCUGCAAUUUCAUCAAGAAUAAGGACUUUGGAAGGCUGAUAAAGAUGAUCUACUCUAAAACAUCAAUUGAAGGAGUCUCAGAGUUUCAAAAGAAAGCUCACAGUGAAAUGAGCAUAAAGCAUCGGAAAUCAAAACGGCAGGAUGCAGUCUGGGAGCAGCAGCAUCCCUCGGAGCAAGCUCGGAACCUAACACCACAGCAGUGUGUUAUGAGUGUGUCUUUAGUCCUUUGUUGCUAAACAACUUCCAAUUCUUUUUUGUAAUGACAAGUUUCUGGUUUCUGGCUGUGCUGCUUGACUGUCAAAAUAUUCUUUGGCAUCCACAACAUUAUUUGACUGAUUGGUUUGAAAAUUGCAAGGUUUUUUUGUUUAGUGAUGGGUUUAACCGGUUGCAGAAGUGUCCCAGGUUUGGUUUAUUUUUUUUAAAGUUUUUUAUUUUUUUUAGACAUUUUUUAUUUUUAAAAAACAACAACAACAAAAGUUUCAGUGAAUUCCUUUUUUUUUUGUUCCCUGAGCUCACACUGGGGUCACUCCAAUAAAACACGUAGCACGACUCAACUGUGACCUUUGAAGCCAAAACCGAAGUAAUGGUGCAAUUAAGUGCAAACAUGGAAAUUCGCCUGACUUGUAGGUAACAAGGGCUUUUAAACAACAUUUAAGGCUUAUUUGGGACAUUUUAUGCAUUAAAUUAUUGUAGUAUUUAUAAUGUCAGCUUCUGUGAAUCACCCUCCCACAACGAAUCAACAGCUUGUAACCAAGACUUAAGGAAUAAUAAUUAAAAAAAAAAAAAAAAAAAAA